AAACAAUACUGGUCCUAUUGGAGGAGUCCUUCAUACAAUUUAAUGCGCUCUCUGCACAUGCUUUUUGCUUCCCUUGUUUCUGGAUUGCUCUUUUGGGAUAAGGGAAAGAAACUGUAAGUCAAAAUACUGUUAAACCAAAGCUUCAAUUAACUUACCGACAACAUGCUUCAUUAUACCGUGCGAAUUAAAAACUUUAUACAUCCUCAUAUAAAUUUCUUGGCCACUUCUAAGUAACAUAUUUAUCCCAAAAGUGAUGCUUAAAGUGAUUGUCAUGACACAGUUGAAAACGGAAUUAGGUCGUCUGAUCCAAUAUUUUCCGCUCAGAUAUCCUUUCCUGUACAGUUUGUUAACAUUCAACAUUUUGGCUUAAUUUUAUCUUUGUUGACAUCACCCACACAGCUAAAACCGAACUCUGGAGUUUCAUUUUUGGUUUGUGAAGGUUGAUGCAGAACUGAAGUUCUGUUUAAAUGAUGUGACUAUCUCUCUCCCAUGAUAAUGGACUUGGUUACAUCAACUAAAAUAGAGUCACUUUAUAUAUACAUGUACAUUGCAUAUAUAUGUAUAUAGACACACACACGUAUAUAUGUUAUCUUAUACUUAAGCAGCUUGAUUAUUUUUCUUAGACUGUUCUUUUGUUUCUCUUCCUCUUUUUUGACAGAGAUAACCAGCAGAGCGUCUUCAGUGUAUUUGGUGCUAUGUUCACUGCAGUAAUCUUCUGUGGCAUAAAUAAUUCAUCUUCUGUUUUACCAUAUGUGACCACAGAGCGAUCAGUCCUAUACCGGGAAAGAUUUGCUGGGAUGUAUGCAUCAUGGGCUUAUGCAUUAGCACAGGUAUAUAUAAGGAUUACAAAAUUGGCAUGUUGACUACUUGAAGUUACUGGGGAUUCAGUAAUGCCAAAUCUUACACUUGUCUUCAACAGUUCACUGCUUCAUAUUUGAGUUGAGUACCAUGAUUUUGUAGGUGGCAAUUGAAAUUCCAUAUCUUUUAGCUCAAGCGCUUGCAUUUACUGUCAUAACAUAUCCGAUGAUUGGAUAUUAUUGGUCGGCCUAUAAGGUUUUCUGGUACUUCUAUUCGAUGUUUUGCACAUUGUUGUACUUCACGUACUUGGGAAUGAUGCUUGUUUCAAUGACGCCAAGCUUUCCAGUAGCUGCAAUUCUUCAAUCAUCCUUUUACACAAUGUUCAACCUCUUUGCUGGCUUCUUGAUGCCAAAGGCCGUAAGUGGUUCAGAAUUUAAGCCACUUUGAAUGUAAAAAUCAAUGAUAAUUUUGUAAUUACCUCAGUCAGUGUGUGACAUUUCAAUUUUUGUUUCUUUUCCCUACAUUGCAGCAAAUUCCCAAAUGGUGGAUCUGGUUCUAUUAUCUAACACCUACAUCUUGGACGCUGAAUGGGAUGCUUACUUCACAAUAUGGAGAUAUAGAAAAAGAAAUUACCGUGUUUCAAGAAAAGAAAACAGUAGCAGCCUUUCUUGGGGACUAUUUUGGUUUUCACCACAAUCAAUUACCUAUUGUAGCAUUUGUUUUGAUUGCAUACCCCCUAGUUUUUGCUAGUCUAUUUGCAUUUUUCAUUGGGAAGUUGAACUUCCAGAGGAGGUGAUAUUGCAACUUAUUCAUUGUAUGUUUCAAAUUAAAUAGUUUCCAUGUUACUUUUGUACAUUAGACUGGGGGAAAAUAAGGUUAUGGUAUAUUCAUAAUACCAGGGAGAGAAGUAUGGGAUCUGAUAAGAUGCAUGAAUUUCUAUUCUGUCUUUUCUAAGAGUAGAUGAGAGUUUAAAGAUUAUAUUAAAACGGUAAAAACUUAAGUGUUUGAAGCAAUUCCAUUCACAGAUAUUCAGAAAUUGUGGUACUGUCAAAUUACCUCAAGUUGAGAAGGUAAAGGCAUUCUUGGUAGGAAGUAGAAGCAUUCAAACCGCAACAAAGAUUUUAUCACUACCGUUAAUAGUAAAAAUACAGUUACACUACCAUUAAAUGCUAAGCAUAAGCAUCUAGAUAUCAUACAUGUAUGCACUUACGUGAGUUGGGACAAAUAAGGUCCAACCCCAUAUCAAUUAAUAGCCUGAAAAUGAAUCUGUAGCCUACGAACAAUUAUUUACAAUCAUCUCAACAGCUGAAUUGCUCAGAUAAAUUACUGGGGAAUAAAGUUCUUAACAAAUUGCACAAAAUCGAGCUAUGAGCAAAAUAACUUAGUGCUUUCACAAAUAAGAUAAUGGACGAGACAGAUGAUGGAUUGCGUAGAGGUGUUCAAACACGCAGCGGAAGACAAUAACAAUCCUAGAUAGAACUUUUCGUCUUUAAAAUUUAUUUACAUGUCAAAGAUAGGAUCUAAGACGUACCUGGUGAAGAGAGUAUCAUUUUAGAGUUUUCUUCGAUAGUGCGAACACUCUAUGCGUAUCCACACCGAGACUGAUCCUUGCUAUCAACUUUUUGAUAAAUGAAACCCGCGAGCAAAUUGAACGAAUUAUUGUGCUAAAGUUCUUUUCAAAAACUUUAGCUCAUAGGUGAAAGACCAAGAAACUAAAUUUUCUUGUCCAAGAGUAUUUCUUGACUCUNNN
rnacentral:lncRNA from 1 species